CCUACGGGUGGCAGCAGUGGGGAAUAUUGGACAAUGGGGGCAACCCUGAUCCAGCCAUGCCGCGUGUGUGAAGAAGGCCCUCGGGUUGUAAAGCACUUUCAGUGAGGAAGAACGCCUGGUGGUUAAUACCCAUCAGGAAAGACAUCACUCACAGAAGAAGCACCGGCUAACUCCGUGCCAGCAGCCGCGGUAAUACGGAGGGUGCGAGCGUUAAUCGGAAUUACUGGGCGUAAAGCGCGCGUAGGUGGCUUGAUAAGCCGGUUGUGAAAGCCCCGGGCUCAACCUGGGAACGGCAUCCGGAACUGUCCAGCUAGAGUGCAGGAGAGGAAGGUAGAAUUCCCGGUGUAGCGGUGAAAUGCGUAGAGAUCGGGAGGAAUACCAGUGGCGAAGGCGGCCUUCUGGACUGACACUGACACUGAGGUGCGAAAGCGUGGGUAGCAAACAGGAUUAGAUACCCGUGUAGUC
rnacentral:rRNA from 1 species